UGUUUCUUGGUUUGCCCCUCUCUCUUUUUCCUCUACAGGGGCUAGUUUAAGAAGCAUUAACAGGGUGACUUGCACAUAGUAGGUAUUCAACAUAUGUAAGCUAUGGGGAGUUUUUUGUUGUGAUUUAAUUCCAAAGAGCUGACAGUUUAGUUUAUGUCAGUAUCAUUAUGUAUUUAAGGCAACAUUUGAGGAUGCCUUUACACUCGACCAAAUGGGAAAGGAAAAUCUGCCCACCUUUUAGGGCAGCAAUACUCGGCUGGGGCCAGUUUUGCCUCCCAGAGCCAUCUGGUGAUGUCUGAGACACGUUUGCUUGUCAAAAUCUGGCAGGGGCGGGGGGGCAAGGCUGCUACAGAUAUCUAGAGGAGAGAGGCCAAGGAUGAGACUAAACAUCCUACAAUGUACAGCCCAGCCUCCGCUCCACUCCCCAACAGGACAAUGAAGGAUCAGGUCAAAAUAUCAUUAGUACCCCAGGUGAGCAGCCCUGAGUUAGAGACUCUUGGUUAUUUACAGACUUUGAUGAAUAAUCAAGCGUCAAGAAAUGUGUGGCACAGGGAGAACUACAGAUGCCAUCCAGGUGCUUUGGGUAGCACCCCGCCCCCAGCAGCAGCAUCACCAAGCAGGAAGUUAUGAGAAACACACGUUCUUAGGCCCCGCCCCUUCCCCACUGAAUCAGAAUCUUUAGGGUGGAGCCCAGAAAUCUAUGGUUUAACAAGCAAGCCCUGCAGGUGAUUGUAAUACACUCUCAAGGCUGAAAAGCCUGCUUAGCUGACCGUGUCCCCAGGUUACCUCCUCCCGCAUGCUCCAUGCCUGAGCAGCAGGUGGCAGCCGACCAGAAUAACGGGACCAGAUAACUGUAAGCCCUGCAUAAAGCCGAGAUGAGACACUGCAUGCUUGCGCCGGAUUAACUGGGGACAGCUGGCACCAGUGCACUACCUCACACUCAAUAAUGCCACCUUUCUAAUUUCAGGAAAGGUAGGGGGGAAAGCAUGGUUCCAACUCACUCAGAGUCCCUUCUUAGCCACAUAGCACUUACAGGGUUUUGAAAUUGUUCAGUUCUAACUUAAGUUACUGAGGCAUAUUCACCAGCAAAGAAUGCGGGGAAUAAUCUGGUUUGGACUUCUAAAGCACCCUACAAAAUCCCAAGCCAUGAGAAUAAAUCAUUUCUGCUGCCUGGGGCACCUUUGGGCCAAGCACUUGGCACAACGCACACCUGACUGGCUCUUGGAUCCCUCCUGGUGAAUGAUGAACAUCUCAGAUUUCUGUGGAUCUUUUGUCAGGCAGAUAAAACUAAAUUUGUUCGGCAAACGAAGAAUUACAGCGAGUGCGUUACCGUUCACAUAGUUUUCCAUUUGAGCCACAAGGGGGCACCCGCCACCCUGCCAUGGGAGUCCAUGGUCCAAAUAAAGACCCUGAAGGGGAAGGUUGCAUGACCUAUUAAAGAGUGAAGGAAGGAGGAGGGAACUGUUACUUUGUUGGUAGAGUGGCUCAGUGGUGUGACUUUUGGGUUGGACCUCCGCCCUGAACUCUAGAGCCGGGUUUCUCAAGGUGUGGUCCCCAGUCUGGCAGCAUCAGCAUCACCUGGGAGCUGUUGCAGGAAAGCAAGUUAUUGGACCGUGUCCCAGACCAGCUGAAUCAGAAGCUCUGGGGGCGGGGCCCAAUGAUUUCUGUUUUAACAAGUGUUUUCUUCUCCCCCAUCCCCUCCAGGUGACUGUGGCGCUGGCUCAAGUUUGAGAACCACUGCUCUGUAGCCAGAACAUCUUCCUGGGAAUUAGCUGGGAUGCAAAACCAUGUUGCCAUCUGAUCUCAUCACACUUCUGCCAAGAGGUGAAAUCUAAGAGUCCACAUUCUUGAUGCCUGACAUCUUCUUCAGGUCACUUACCUGCGAACACCUGAGGACACUAAGUGACUCGGAGGAGGCAACUCCGUCCCCAAUUCCGGGGUAGAUAUUGAUCAACCUACAUAUUCUCUCUCCUAAGGACAUUCUUUCUUCUGGCUCUCGACACUGUCAGGUUUGACUGAGACUCCUAGACACCUGGCUACCAGCCUGCUGAUGAAACUUACCCAGAAGCAAAGAGCAGAGCCAAAGGAAUUGCAGAAGAGCAGUAUGAGAAUAUACUGUGGAUAGACCUUGAUCUAUCCCUGAACUUCUUAUUAUGUCGGAAGCCAAGCAGCGUUCAGCUAGUUGAUCCUUCUGUUCCACGUAGCAUCAACUAAGCUCACUGAGUGGUAUUCAGCUGGCUAAUAAGCUGGUCUGAAGAGUCCAAAAUGUCUUCCCUCACAUAUUUGGCAUCUUGGCAGCGAUGGCUGGAAGUCUACACUCAGCUGAGAGCUUCAAGCAGAACACAUCUAUGUGGCUUCUCCAGCAUGGCCAUCUCAAGGUAGUCAGACUUCUUAUAUGGGGCUUAGGGCUCUUGGAGAGAGAAAGUUCUAAGAGACAGGAAGUGGAAGCUGCCAGUCUCUUCAGGCCCAAGCCUGAACUGGCACAGAAUCACUCGGGCCAUAUGCUCUGGGUCAAAGAAGACAUACAGGCUGUCCAGAUUCAAGAGGAGGUAGCAUAGAUUCUACCUCUUGAUGGGAAAGUUUCAAAGAGUUUAUGACUACCUUUAAUUCUCCACAUUACUUAAUUCAAUUAGAGACAGGUUUUCUGUUAUUUACAGACAAAAGGAUCCUAAAUAAUUAAAGAAAUUCAAGGUUCUUUCAACUCUGAGAAGAGAUUUCUUCCUGUUUCUCUUACACAGGGGUCUGUAAACUUUUUCCACAAAAAGCCAGAUAGUAAAUAUUUUAGGUUUUAUAGGCCACACAGUCUCUCAACUCUGCCAAUGAGGCAUGAAACCAGCCAUGGAAAAAUAUAUAAAUGAGUAAGCAUGGCUGUUUUCCAAUAAAAAUUUUAUUUAUGGUCACUGAAAUCUGUAUUUCACAUAAUUUUCAUGUGUCAUGAAAUAUUAUUCUUCUUUUGCUUUGUUUUCUUUCUUCCCCCCAACCAUUUAAAAAUAUAAAAGCCUGGGCGCCUGGGUGGUUCAGUCAGAUAAACGUCUGACUCUUGGUUUGCACUCAGGUCAUGAUCUCCAUGGUUUGUGGGUUCAAGCCCCCCUUUGAGCCCCAUGUUGGGCUCCGUGCUGACAGCGUGGGGCCUGCUUGGGAUUAUCUCUCCCUUUCUCUCUGCCCUUCCCCUUCUUGUGUGUACUCUUGCUCUUUCUCAAAAUAAAUAAAUAAACUUUAAAAAAGUAGCACACAGUUCACUGGUUUUACAAAAAUAAAAAUAUAAAAACCAUUUUUAUAAUUGUGGCUGUACAAAAAAAGAAGGCAGGCCAGGGCCAUAUUUUACUGACCCCCUGCUCUAACACAUCAAGCUUGCUCUAAGCUCUGGGCCUUUGUCUGUGCUGACCCUCUGUCCAGAAUAGUCUUUUCUGUGGACCUCACAUGGCUUGUACUUUCUCUUUAGUUGGGUUUUAACUCAAAUAUUACCUCUGCAGAACCUUCUCUCAUAACUCUUUCUAAAAUUAUCCCUUUACCUUUUCUUGAUAGCACUUCUCACUGCCUGAAACUGUGUUCAUCUAUUUGUUCAUGUUUAUUUACUGCCUCUUUUCUAUCCUCACUCAAAUCUAAAUGAAGCAGGGAUCUUGUAUGAUUCUCCUCUGAAUGGCCUUUACUUAGCACAGUGCCUGGAAGGCAGUAGGUGCUCUUUAAAGAUAUGUUGUGUUUGAGUUAAAUGGUUACAACUCAACUCUCUGGCGUUUGACAGGAACAUAAAAGACUGCUCAGUUUCUACUCAUUGAUGAGUAGUGAAAGCAGAGGAAGGAGGUCAUCUGCACUGGGAAGUGUUGAUCCCUUUGUAAUUUCCCUGGGUUUCAGGCAAAGCUGAAGGAAAAAUUCUUCUCUCGUAUAAUUUGGAAGAUAGCUAUUUUCCUCUCUUGGCAGAUGUGAAUGACUUACCUUGCCUGUUUAGAGGCAGGAAAGGGGGAAACAUCCUUAAACAACCUUAUUUGAGGAGGGAGAGUGUCAUCAUGUUCAUUGUAAAAUAGAGUUUGAAAGCUGGAUUCCUCUAGACCAAUAAAGUAUAAUUUCAUAGACAUUCCUGAGAUCCCUGACAGGAAAUGGCAAAAGUCCUGUUCUGGGUGGCACAGCAAUAAUAGAGAUGACAGAGGUGGGGAUAAUACCAGGCUAAACUUGUUCUCAGCGGGGGAGGAAGGAAAAAGCAGGAGCAGGUGCAGCGUUCAGGACAAGAAGGCUUGAGCGUGAAUAGUGUAUUGGUGGCAUUGGGCUGGUGGCCAGAGCCUAGCAAUUGAGCCCCAAGCUUUGGGGCAGAAGUGGCUUCCAUCCAGUCCUCCAGCCCUGCUUCUACUUAUUAAAACAGAUUUCUAGGGUAGAAAGAGCCCACUAGCAGGGAAUAUGAUAAACAGGAAGUGUCCGUGGGAAGCAGUGAGGGCCACGGCCUAGUGGACCUUAGGAUGUGGAGCUUUGUGGCUUUAGUGAGUUCAGGUGAGGAACAGAGAGCUGGAACAGAAGGCAUCAAGUAGAAACAGAGAAUAAGGCUGACACUGAAGGCAAUAAGGGGCUGGCCUACAAAUGCUGAGUACAAUGUGGGCUGCAUCCAUAUGCUAGCUGGGCUAAGGGAGUGUCUUUGACUUUAGAUUAGUUGAUUCUCUGUUGGUGGAUGAACAGAAAAAAUAAUGAUGCAAUUAUGUGUCUCAUCUGGACUUUGUGGGCACAAGUAGGGGGAAAGCUAACAAAAUGUGACUAAAACUUAAAAAGGGAAUUGACUGUCUCAUAUAACUGAGAAGUAUAGCAUAAUGCUAGCUAGCUACGGGUAUGGCCAGAUCCAGGAUCACAGUGUCUUUGGUGUUUGGUCAGUCUCUCUCUCUCUCUCUCUCUCUCUCUCUCUCUCUCUCUCUCCCUCUCCAUAUAUAUAUAUCUAUCUUAGCUCUUUUUUCCAUUCUCAGACAGGCUCUCCCCAUGAUAUCAUGGUUCACAUUAGCUCCUGAUAUCUAUCCACAUAUAUCCAUCCAUCCAGCUUCAAGUUCAACAGAACACCUUUGGCCUAGUUGCUCUAGCAAGUCCAAGAAUUCUAUCUUAUUGCCUCUGAUUGGAUCAUGUGCCUGUGCAUGAGCCAGUCACUGAGGCCAGGGCAUCGCGGUGCUUUUUUGAUCGAGCCUGGGUCCCAUGCCUUCCCUUUAAGCCCAGUGUAGUCAUCUCUACCCACAUCACCUGGACUGGAAAUGGGGAAGAAGUGGUUUCCCAAGAAAAACUCAGGUACUAUUAUCAUAAGAAUGGGGUGUGGAUGCUGGGUAGGCACAGAAGAAAACAAAACAGAAAACAAAAUUAGAUGUCUACAGCUAGAAAUCAUCAUACUCACACAGCACUGACCAGAAGCCACCACCUCUCUCAUUAGUAGAUGAAUAUAGUACUAAGUAAGUGAUGCCGUCAAGCCCUGGAUAUUCAGCUGCUUCACAAUGACAAAGUUACAUCCUCUGGUUUGAAUCAGCAUUAGGCAGUUAACACCAAGAAUACAAAAUAAUCAUCAUGUGAGAAAGUGGAAGUAUUCAAACUGAUUUAAAGCAAAAGCACAGAAUAGCACGUAUUUGGUAAUGAGGUUUGGUAAGCAUAAAUGCACCUAUUGCCCAAAUAACCCUUGGAUUGCAAGGUGACAAAGGUCUAGGGAAAAAAAGAAAGGUUUUUUUAUUUUGGGUCUAGAUUGUCUAGAUGCCGCUACAGUCUCCCUGCCU